AUAAUUUGUAGAGCAAUUUACCUUUCCUCUAUGUAUACACAAACAGAAUUCGCCAAAUAAAUCUCAACAGCACUCGAGAGAACACAAUUGCAGCAAGACCCAAUUAAGCUGGGAAUUAUGCUUCCAGUCUAAAACCCCUCUAUUCAGAAAUUAAGCCUAGAAAGAACUGUAAUGUUAUAUAUUUGUAAAAUUUUACUUAGGAAAAGCUGAUGUAAUUUUGUUUGAAAAUUAUAGGCUUAUUACUUGCAUUCUUUUAUUUAAUAAAAAAAAAUCUCUUUGGGAAUGCAGAAACAGUCUAUUUCUAAGUAUCAGUUUACAUACCCUGCUGUGUGGCUACCAACUCAAAUAUGUUCUGAAGCAGGGGAACUGAGUUUCAGAUGGUGCAAUUUUACUGGGGCAGAUACAUCUUCAAAAGUAAGUGAUCAACCACUGCCUGUUUCUCCAGCUUUGGAAGUACUAGCUACAUCCUGACUCUAUCCCAAGACUGCUCCCAGAUUCAUUGUCAAGGGGUCGUCUUGAAUUUUAACAACCAUUUUUUGCCUUCCGUCACUUUUCAGAUAUUGUGGUUUGUUCAUCAUCACCUGAGAAUUGUCUGGAGAACAAGACAGUUCACACCCUAAUCUGAGCCUGAGCUUGCCUUAAGAGUAAUUACAAAAUCCAAAUUAGGACAACACAGCCAAGUUUGGAUUUAAUUUAAUAAGUAAUGCUGUUUAUAAGAAUCCACUGGAAAACAAUGUUUGCUAUUAUAAUUUAUAGUCGUUCUCUAAUUGUGGGUGUGUUUGCAUAUGUCAAAAACAUUACCAGAAAAGUGGUUUUUAAAAAAUACAACAUUAAUUUAAAGAUUUCCGAACUUAAAUUGUUGAACCAUUUCUAGGACCAUAAAAAUGAUACAAAUUCCAUUUGUUUGGCUCUGUAGUGAUGCUGACAGCUAUUCAUGCCAGUGAAACCUAGAAGGCAUCAGCAAGUAUUAACAAGAGUCUUUGACACCUUCUAACAAAGAUGCCUUUGUUGAAUCCUAAAGAUUCAAUAUUUUGACCAUGAAGAAGUGCUCCAAAAGGAUUUUUCCUGCGAAUUACAUAACAUAACAGCUCCCAAGAGACUCCGACUUAUAGGUCAUAUACUCCAUAUGAAGAAUGACUGAAUUCCCAAGAUGGCAAUGAGAUGGAUCCCCGUGAUGCCAAAGGAACAAGAGGACACCCUUGAAAUACAGGGCGAAGAAUAUUCAUAGACGACUUAAAAGAUUUUAAACAUCACAUGGGACGAUGCUGAUGUACUCACCCAUAUCUGACAUUACUGGAGAUCCCUUGCUGCCCAAUAUGCUACACAGGCAUGGGAGGAUCUAAUGAGACUCAACCAGUGCGCACAGAAAACAAAGCAGAUUUUAUUAUACUUGAGAAAUCAACACUAUGACAAUUGAAAGACACUGUGGUCUUCCUCUUCCUGAUAACCUUUUCUUUUUAAUUUUUUUGUUUCAUUACUGAGUAUCUAAAUAAUCUAGCUUUCCCAUAACUGGAAAAGUAACUGCAGCUAAGGGAAACAAUGACAAUUUUCAGAUUAGAUGUAUCCACUGAUUUUGAUAGCCAAGUAAGGAUCUGAAGCACUGUUUCCGUAUCCAAGACAAACACAAGGAGAGAGGAAUUUUAGGAGCUGGGGAAUAGAACAGAAAAUAAUAGAGUUUGAAGGGACCUUGGAGGUCUUCUAGUCCAACCUCCUGCUCAAGCAGGAGACCCUAUACCAUUCCAGAGAAGGGGCCGUCCAGUUUCUUCUUAAAAAUCUCCAGCGAUGGAGUAGCCACAACUUCUGAAAGCAACCCGCUCCACUGGUUAAUUAUUUUUACUGUCAGGAAAUUUCUCCCUAGUUCUGGGUUGCUUCUUUCCUUGAUUAAUUUCCAACCAUUGCUUGGCCACUCCAGCCUCCAGAUCAUCUUUACUGCUCUUUUCUGCACUCUUUCCAGAGCCUCAACAGCUUUUUAAUAAUAUGGCAAUCAAACCUGGAUGCAGUAUUCCAAUUGUGGUCUUACUAAGGCUUUAUAAAGCAGUACUAAUAUUUCUUGAUGAUCUUGAUUCUAUCCCUGUUAAUGCAACCUAGCAUCACAAGCAGAAAUGGGGGG